UCGAACACUGCAGGGGUCACGGUGGUUUCUGAUGAGGUAAGAGAACUUAUCAUUAUUGAGUCUGAUUUCGAGGUUCUGCUCCUUCUGAAGCAUUUGCAGUGCAGAGACCAUUAAUAGUUUAAAAUGUGCGAGUAGGUCGGGGGGUUUAUAUUGCAAAACUCUGAUAAGGUUUCACCCAUUCACUUCAACAGGAAAAAAUGUUAUCAACCACAACACAGAUGUUGUGACAUCUGUGACAUCAUAAUACCCAGUUUCAGUAUAUGCAGAAAGAACCUUUAUCAGCAAUUCUAUUCCUUUAGAUGUUUUUGUGUACAGCACUCAAGCAGUUACUUCAAAAAUUGUUGCUGUUGUUGUAUAAACUCAGAUUUUUCAAAACAGGUCAUUGAUGCAUAUCUGCACCGUGUUAUUGACAGACGAAAGAUGAAGUUCCCAGUUGAAGACGUGGCUGUGCCCUGUGAACUUUGGUACACACUGGAUUCUUGUGAUUGUCAACAUUUCUGCACAGAAAAUACUGCUCAUAGACCCCAUGGGAAUGAAGGUGUUUAUGACAGGAAAAUUCUGCACAACUGGAGGUAUGUAUGAUACUGAGGUGUUAUUCUUAGAUUAAAAAAAAAAAUCUUGUUUCAUUACAAACACUUUUGUUCAACUAGGAAUUUUCUGAGGAUGAGAGGGCAUGAAGACACCAUGGAGUGGCAGUUACAGACUAUGCAACACAACAAGCGACAGGAUUCCAGCAGUUGUGGAGUUUUACUGUUAAAGGUAACCCUUAUUCAAAUGAUUCAGUUUCUUGUUAGCUAGAAUUAAGACUUUAAGUGAAUUUAAGUGAAGUGAAAGUUAUUUCGGUCAACAACAACAAAGAUGAUCAUUUUACAUAGAAGUACUUAAUCAUACAGUAACUGGAAAAGGAAUAGGCUGAAGCCUUGUGGCUUAUAAUUAUCCUAUCCUUUACCUAAUUAAGACUUUACAUUCUAAUUAUGAUCAAUCUCACAGUUUGCAGAACACUACCUUGAUUUUGGAGAGGUCAGUGAGGUGUCAACCACUACAGAGGCAGUUGUGCUGGAGCGAAUGCAGAUAGCUUGCACCCUACUUGAAAAUCGAGGUAAGUCCAGUAAAGUCCUUAUCACGUUAGUGCGUACUUCCAAUUUAAAUAGUGCUUUUCAAACAGCACAGUACAAAUAGUGCUCUUCAAACACUUUCAGAUAAGACCCUUCUCAAAGUCUAAUUUAGACUAAUUUUCCAGGAAGUAUAUUUGGAAAAAAUGUACUAUUAUUUUUUAAUUAUUCAAUAAACAAUGUUUGAUUAAAACCUAACUAUGAUUGUGUUUCAGGGAACGCUGAGGACUACUGCAUUGUUUGCUCCAUGUUAGAUGCUAACGCUGACCGCAGCAUGAUUGAAAUGGUAAA